rnacentral:tRNA from 1 species
UGGGGUGUGGUUCAAGUGGUAGAACACCAGUCUCCAGAGCUCGACGCCCUGGGUUCAAGCCCCAGUACAUAAA